rnacentral:rRNA from 1 species
GUCGUACGCUUCUUUUUCCACCGGAGCUUGCUCCACCGGAAAAAGAAGAGUGGCGAACGGGUGAGUAACACGUGGGUAACCUGCCCAUCAGAAGGGGAUAACACUUGGAAACAGGUGCUAAUACCGUAUAACAAUCGAAACCGCAUGGUUUUGAUUUGAAAGGCGCUUUCGGGUGUCGCUGAUGGAUGGACCCGCGGUGCAUUAGCUAGUUGGUGAGGUAACGGCUCACCAAGGCCACGAUGCAUAGCCGACCUGAGAGGGUGAUCGGCCACAUUGGGACUGAGACACGGCCCAAACUCCUACGGGAGGCAGCAGUAGGGAAUCUUCGGCAAUGGACGAAAGUCUGACCGAGCAACGCCGCGUGAGUGAAGAAGGUUUUCGGAUCGUAAAACUCUGUUGUUAGAGAAGAACAAGGAUGAGAGUAACUGUUCAUCCCUUGACGGUAUCUAACCAGAAAGCCACGGCUAACUACGUGCCAGCAGCCGCGGUAAUACGUAGGUGGCAAGCGUUGUCCGGAUUUAUUGGGCGUAAAGCGAGCGCAGGCGGUUUCUUAAGUCUGAUGUGAAAGCCCCCGGCUCAACCGGGGAGGGUCAUUGGAAACUGGGAGACUUGAGUGCAGAAGAGGAGAGUGGAAUUCCAUGUGUAGCGGUGAAAUGCGUAGAUAUAUGGAGGAACACCAGUGGCGAAGGCGGCUCUCUGGUCUGUAACUGACGCUGAGGCUCGAAAGCGUGGGGAGCAAACAGGAUUAGAUACCCUGGUAGUCCACGCCGUAAACGAUGAGUGCUAAGUGUUGGAGGGUUUCCGCCCUUCAGUGCUGCAGCUAACGCAUUAAGCACUCCGCCUGGGGAGUACGACCGCAAGGUUGAAACUCAAAGGAAUUGACGGGGGCCCGCACAAGCGGUGGAGCAUGUGGUUUAAUUCGAAGCAACGCGAAGACCCUUACCAGGUCUUGACAUCCUUUGACCACUCUAGAGAUAGAGCUUCCCCUUCGGGGGCAAAGUGACAGGUGGUGCAUGGUUGUCGUCAGCUCGUGUCGUGAGAUGUUGGGUUAAGUCCCGCAACGAGCGCAACCCUUAUUGUUAGUUGCCAUCAUUUAGUUGGGCACUCUAGCAAGACUGCCGGUGACAAACCGGAGGAAGGUGGGGAUGACGUCAAAUCAUCAUGCCCCUUAUGACCUGGGCUACACACGUGCUACAAUGGGAAGUACAACGAGUCGCGAAGUCGCGAGGCUAAGCUAAUCUCUUAAAGCUUCUCUCAGUUCGGAUUGUAGGCUGCAACUCGCCUACAUGAAGCCGGAAUCGCUAGUAAUCGCGGAUCAGCACGCCGCGGUGAAUACGUUCCCGGCCCUUGUACACACCGCCCGUCACACCACGAGAGUUUGUAACACCCGAAGUCGGUGAGGUAAC